rnacentral:rRNA from 1 species
AUUGAACGCUGGCGGCAGGCCUAACACAUGCAAGUCGAACGGAGAAGGGUGCUUUCCCCUGGGGUUAGCGGGGGCCCGGGUGGGUAACGCUUGGGAACCGCCUGGGUGGUGGGGGCAAAGCUCGGGAAUAGGCCGUUAAAACUGCUUCUGUCUGCCGGUAGAACUGGGGGGUUGUUCGGCCCUUCGGCAACCAGUUUGGCUUAGGUGGGAUUAGCUAGUCGGCGGGGGAAAGGCCUACCAAGGCGACGACCCGUAACUGGUCUGAGAGGAUGACCAGUCACACUGGAACUGAGACACGGUCCAGACUCCGACGGGAGGCAGCAGUGGGGAAUAUUGGACUAUGGGCGAAAGCCUGAUCCAGCCAUGCCGCGUGUGUGAAGAAGGUCUUCGGAUUGUAAAGCACUUUAAGUUGGGAGGAAGGGCAGUAAGUUAAUACCUUGCUGUUUUGACGGUACCAACAGAAUAAGCACCGGCUAACUUCGUG